rnacentral:ncRNA from 3 species
CACCAGGAGUGGAGCCUGCGGC